rnacentral:rRNA from 1 species
UAAUGCUUGGGAAUCUGGCUUAUGGAGGGGGAUAACUACGGGAAACUGUAGCUAAUACCGCGUAGUAUCGAGAGAUGAAAGUGCGGGACCGCAAGGCCGCAUGCCAUGAGAUGAGCCCAAGUGGGAUUAGGUAGUUGGUGGGGUAAAGGCCUACCAAGCCUGCGAUCUCUAGCUGGUCUGAGAGGAUGGCCAGCCACACUGGAACUGAGACACGGCCCAG